GGGACUGUGGCUCAGUGGUAGAGCACCUGCUUUUCAUGCAGAAGGCCCUGGGUUCAACCCUCGGCAGAUCCA